CUCAUACAAUAAAGGCAAAGUAAGUUUGUUUUGCCCAAAAGUUCUACCUCCACAUUUACUCUUCAUUCUCCUCCAAACGUUGAUUGCUCCAUGGCUUCCUUUGGUUCACCCUCAUUCUCCAUGGACAACCAAUCCAACAUGGUAUCAUCCGCCGAUGUCGAUCCUGUGGCUCCAUCGAACGCGAAUCCGCUGCACUCUUCGAUACCUCAUCCCUCAUUGGUAAUUCCAGAAGUUGCUGAUCCAAAUGGAUCCAAUCUAGCACUGCUCCCUCAUCAAAUGUUGGCUGGAUCCCCAUCCUUUGGAUCCAUCCAGAAUUUUCUCCACAUCAAGUUAUCAUCAACAAACUACCUCUUGUGGAAAAUGCAAUUCAGUCCAUUGUUAAAUUGCUUUGACAUGAAGUUCUUGAUCGACAAAUCAACCUCUCCUCCUACGCCCAAUCCACAAUGCCCAAUCUAUAUGGCAUGGUGGCGUAAGGACCAACUGUUGGUUAGUUGGAUUUUAUCCUCCCUCUCCGAGGAGGUGCUCCCCACGGUGUUAGGAUUGGAAUCCGCUGCUACAAUCUGGGACACAUUGGCGAUGUCAUAUGGGCGACCAUCAGAGUCGCGAAUCCUCCAGCUCCAGAUGCAGCUGCAGAACAACAGACACGCCGCCGGCGAGGAUGUCACGACAUAUCUCCGGCGAGCCAAGCUACUGGCCGACGAACUGGCAGCGGCGGGGGCAUCUGUUCCCACUCGCAUUUUCAACGCGACGAUCUACAACAAUCUGGGACCAGACUUCGGCGAGGCGGUGACGGCUUUGGCGAUCCGGCAGUCGGCUGUCACCUUCGACGAGCUGCUCGAGGUGAUGUCCAGCCACCAAAUCCGGAUGAAAAUGCGGCAAUCGAUCCCCGUGUUGAACCAGACGGCGACAAACUACGGAUUUGGAGGGACGUCUUCGCCGGCUUCGAGUUUCACCGGUGGCAGGGGAGGUCGCGGCGGCCGGAACAAUUUGGGAAGGGAAGAGGAAAUCGUGGGCGGGUCGCACAAGUCAGAAGAGACCCAUGCCCGGUUUGUGGGGGCAUGGGCCACAGCCCGUAUAAGUGUCAAUUUAGGGUUAACCCCUAUCAAAAUCAAAAUAAUAAUAAUAACCACCCACAAGCCCAAGCCCAAGAAAACCACCCACAAAUUAAUUCCCCAUAUCAACCAAACCCACAAUUAAACGUGGCCCAGGCCCAAUACAUUAAUUCCAUUAAUUCCCCUUCAGCCCAAUACUAUCCAGCCCCGGUCCAACAACAAAGUCUCAAUUAUUUUAGGCAGCCCGUAACAAAUAACACUCAAAUGGCAGAUUCGUAUUUCUCGACAAGUGACCUGGACCAAAAUGACAUGGCAGCCUGGUACCCAGAUACUGGAGCAACUCACCACUUUACUCCGAACGUCCAGUCAAUAUCAUCCCCAAUGCCGUAUCAGGGACCCGGGUCCGCUCAGUUAGGUAAUGGGACCCAACUACAGAUCCAAUACUUGGGGGAUGGUAAUUUUGCAAGUGGAUCCUCUCUUUUUUCAUUACGUAACAUUUUGCACGUUCCGUCACUUAAAACUCCGUUAUUAUCUGUUCAACAGUUUUGCAGGGAUAAUAACUGUUAUUUUUUGUUUGACUCUUUUCGUGUCUUUGUGAAGGACCGAGUUACUCACAAGGUACUCCUUCAAGGGCAACAUGAUGGAUCCCUCUACAAAAUCGUCCCAACUCCACCACCUACUCUUCACUCGACUCGAGCCAAUCUGGAUGUCUGGCAUCAACGGCUGGGUCACCCUCAGGAGUCGGUUCUCCGUCAUGUAGUAUCUGCAAAUUGUUUACCUUCUGUUAGUUCAAAAUUCAAUAAGUGUAGGUCAUGUGUGUUAGGCAAGGCUAGUCGCAACAACCUUGUCUCGACCUACUCUAAAUCCAAGUGUCCGUUAGAACUCAUUCAUAGUGAUGUGUGGGGCCCUGCCCCGGUUUCCUCCUAUAAUGGACACAGAUAUUUCGUAUUUUUUAUCGAUGAUUUCUCUAGGUUUGUCUGGUUUUUCCCUAUCAAACAUAAAUCGGAAGUGGUAGGCAUUUUUCAGAAGUUUCACAUUAUGGUGGAAAAACAAAUCGGACAUAAAAUAAAGUACUUCCAAUCAGACUUCGGUGGCGAAUUCCAAGCUCUCACCACAUAUUUCACCUCUCAUGGAAUUCAUCACCGAAGGUCGUGCCCACAUACUCAUGAACAAAGUGGCACGGCAGAGAGGAAGAUCAGGCAUAUAGUGGACACUGGUCUAACACUUCUCGCUCAUGGUAGGAUUCCUCUGUCAUAUUGGAAUUUUGCUUUUUCUACAGCAGUAUUUACUAUAAAUCAUAUACCAUCCAAAACUCAUGGGAUUCCACCACUUCAAAAGUUAUUCAACAUCCAACCUAAACACGCCUUCCUAAAAGUGUUUGGGUGUGAGGUCUUUCCACUCCUUAGACCUUAUAAUCAACAUAAGUUUGCUUUUCGCUCUACUUCUUGUGUUUUCCUUGGGUAUAGUCCGUCUCAUAUGGGAUAUAUGUGUCUUGAUCCACCAACUCAAAAAAUAUACAUUUCGCGUCAUUGUACUUUUUUCGAAAAUUCCUUCCCAUUUGCAAAAUUACAGGUACCCCAAGGUACAUCAACAGAUUGUCAGUCAGGCCCAUGGGGAAUGCUUUCGGUUCAUCCAUCAAAUACGGCUGCGCCUAUCCCUGAAAGGUCAAAUUCUCAGGAUCCUCGGUUCAGUCCAGAAUCACCUGGUUUACCAACUCCUGUGGGGCCCACAAGGUCGCCAACAGUAUAUGGUACUGAAAGUUCAAAUAAUUCGCUGCCAACUAGUCAAGGCUCAGACGACUCUGUAAGCCCAAGUCCCCCAGCCCCUAAUAAUCGGCCCCAACGGAAUAUUCCUCGAGUUGAUUAUCGGAGACUAGCAGGAUUGGAAGCCACGUCACUUGCAAUUGAUGACUUCUCAGAACCAACUACAGUCCGACAGGCGUCCAAAUCACCUGAGUGGAUCCAGGCCAUGGAAGUUGAGUUUGGUGCACUAAUGCGGAAUCACACUUGGUCCUUGGUGGAUCUUCCUCGAAAUGCAAACUUGGUCACGUGUAAAUGGGUGUUCAAGGUCAAGAGAGGGUCUGAUGGCAGUCUCAAACGACGAAAGGCACGUCUGGUUGCACGUGGGUUUUCACAAGUCGAGGGAAUUGAUUUUGAUGAAACGUAUAGUCCAGUUGUGAAAUUUCCAACCAUCAGAAUCAUGCUAGCACUCGCAAUAUCCAAGGGUUGGCAGCUUCGUCAGCUUGAUGUCGACAAUGCAUUUCUAAAUGGGGACCUCAAGGAAAUUGUGUUUAUGACACAACCCCCAGGGUUUGUAAGUAAAUAUCACCCAACCAAGGUAUGCAGACUUCAUAAGUCACUCUACGGGCUUCGGCAAUCUCCUAGAGCAUGGUACGAACGUCUGAGUAAUUUUUUGAAAUUGAUUGGUUUUGUAAGCACCGCGUCAGACGCAUCUCUAUUUUUGAGGGUUACGAGAAAUUCUCAGGUGUAUAUGUUGAUUUAUGUGGAUGACAUAGUAGUGACAGGGUCUUCAGCUUCAGACAUCGCACAAUUGAUUGACACAUUGUCCAAGGAGUUCAGACUCAAGGAUAUGGGAAAACUGCAGUUCUUCUUAGGAAUGGAACUAACUCCGGUAGGUACUACCGGUGGUUAUGUUCUAUCUCAACAUCAGUACAUUUGUGAUCUACUCCGUCGAACAAAUAUGCACAAGUCAAAAUCCGCAUCCACGCCUAUGCCGUCUACUACAAAGUUGACUGCGUCUGACGGGGUAAUCAUGGAAGAUAAACUGCUAUAUCGAUCGACGGUAGGGGCGCUGUUAUACUUGGUAAAUACUCGUCCGGAUAUAUCAUUUACCGUAAAUAAACUGUGUCAGUAUCUACAAAAUCCAACCACAGUUCAUUGGGCAGCAGCAAAACGAGUACUGAGAUAUCUACAAGGUACGACUUCAUUUGGAAUAUUGCUUGCACCAUCAGCCUCGAUCAGAAUAGAUGUAUACACGGAUGCUGAUUGGGCAGGAUGCCUAGAUGAUCGACGAAGUACCGGAGGAUUUGCUAUAUUCAUCGGGAAUAAUCUAGUCUCCUGGUCAGCCAAGAAACAACCCACUAUUGCACGAUCAUCCACAGAAGCUGAGUUUCGCAUUAUGGCUGAUGCAGCAUCGGAAACAGUAUGGAUUCGGAAUUUACUAAGGGAGAUUCGACUAAUACCAAUUUCACGAGCUCAAUUAUGGACGGAUAACCUUGGGGCUAAAUAUUUAGCACACAAUCCAGUGUUUCACUCUAGAAUGAAACAUAUGGCAAUCAAUUUCGGGUUCGUGCGAGAAUUAGUCAAAAAUGGAGAAAUACAUGUCACUCAUAUAUCUACAAGAGAUCAGAUAGCAGAUGGCUUCACUAAGCCACUACCCUCGUCACGAUUUCUUGAAAUAAGAUCCAAGCUCGGCGUAGUUUCUCAAUCGCCAACUUGAGGGGAAAUAUUGGACUAUAUAUAUGAUAUAAGUAAUUAUAGAUAUAUAUAUUUAAGAAAUACAAAAUUGUAAAAGAUAACAAACCCCACUCACAUAAUUGUGGGUUUGUUAUACUCAAAUGUGUAUAAAUACCCUCAUACAAUAAAGGCAAAGUAAGUUUUGUUUUGCCCAAAAGUUCUACCUCCACAUUUACUCUUCAUUCUCCUCCAAACGUUGAUUGCUCCAUGGCUUCCUUUGGUUCACCCUCAUUCUCCAUGGACAACCAAUCCAACAACCAACACCGUCGUACGGAAACACCCAACACCACCCUACCAUAUUUCAACAAGGUACGAACCAACUACCUCAACCACCAUUCUCAUUGAAAGCACCAAAUGAUAGGAGUAAAGCCUAUCGGGUACGUAUAAACUAAACUAGAAGACUAAAAGAUAACGAAAUACUAAAAAUAUUUUUUUCUAUUUAAUUCAUAAAGUUCACU
rnacentral:lncRNA from 1 species